UUGGUCACUCUGUCGACAUGACCCUCUCCUUCUUCCCUUGCCAGCAAUUCUUUCCUUUUCUUUCUUCCUUUCUUCUCUCCUUCCUCCCUCCCUCCCUCUCUCUUCCUUCCUUCCUUUCUCUUUCUCUCUUUCUUCCUUUCCCUGUUUCUUUUUCUUUCUUCCUUCCUUCCUCCCUUUUUCUUUUUCUUUCUUUCUUCCUGCCUUCCUUCCUUCCUUUCUUUUUCUUUCUUUCUUUUCUUUUUCUUUCUUUCUUUCCUUUUUCUUUCUUUCUUUCUUUCUUUCUUUCUUUCUUUCUUUCUUUCUUUCUUUCUUUCUUUCUUUCUUUCUUUCUUUUUCUUUCUUCUUUCUUUCUUUCUCAAUCUUUUUUCUUCCUUCCUCCCCCCUCCCUCUCCUUCCCUCCCUCUCUCUUUCUUCUUUCCUCCCUUCCUUCCUCUCUACAUUAGUGGAAGACCCAAAUUAGCAAUCCCUGGAAUCCAGAAUUAUAUAGAAAAAUGUAAAAUUUUAAAAAUCAAAGACUUCCUCCUACUUCCAGUUCCACUCUCCAAAGGUGGUGACUUGUCAGAGGGUUGUGCAAUCAACUUGGUGGGUCCCAGCUAGUAUUUUGAAAAGAGAAAUGAACUGGAAUAGACAAGAAAACAUCAGAGUGCAUCACACAAAGUGAAGGUCAACACGGGACUGUGAAACUGAACAUGGGUUUGAUCCCUGCUCCGGAAAGAUCCCACAUGCCUCGGAGCAACUAAGCCUGUGUGCCACGACUACUGAGCCCACAUGCCACAACUACUGAAGCCCACGUGCCUAGAGCCCUCAACAGGAGAAGCCACCGUAAUGAGAAGCAGUUGCACCGCAACGAAGAGUAGCCCCUGCUCGCCACAACUAGAGAAAGCCCGUGUGCAGCAACGAAGACCCAAUGCAGCUAAUAAAUAAAUAAAUAAACCUUUAA